CGACCGGGUAGACGCACGCAGGCUGGGAAGGAACCCCCCGGACCACACAGUAGACCCCGCAGGCUACCGGAAUGAACCCCAAGCCGUCCACAACAGGCAGGGGCAGAGGAAACUUUGCCUCCCAAGGGGGCGAUUGGGACCCAGAGACCUGCGGCGACCCCCGGAAGCGGCCAAGAGGCAGAGCGGGACGAGUGACUGGAGACCGGCGAGGAGAGUGGGCGUACCAAUACGUUGACGCGGAACUACAGCAAAGGCAAGGUUUCCUUGCGUGAGGACGCCAUGGAAGUGGGCGAAGCCAGGAUAUGGACCCACUACGUCCGUCGUGACUGUACUCCCACCUUUAGUAUUGGUUACCAACUGGUAUUUUUAGGAUUGACAAGUUGACCGUUUUAAUUUAUA